UACAGAGGGUGCGAGCGUUAAUCGGAAUUACUGGGCGUAAAGCGCGCGUAGGCGGCUUUGCAAGCCGGAUGUGAAAUCCCCGGGCUUAACCUGGGAACUGCAUCCGAAACUGCCUUGCUAGAGUAUGGGAGAGGGAAGUGGAAUUUCCGGUGUAGCGGUGAAAUGCGUAGAUAUCGGAAGGAACAUCGGUGGCGAAGGCGACUUCCUGGACCAAUACUGACGCUCAGGUGCGAAAGCGUGGGGAGCAAACAGG
rnacentral:rRNA from 1 species